rnacentral:lncRNA from 1 species
UUGUUUGUGUUGUUGGGUUCGAUCAGAAGGCAGGGGGCGACUUCAAGCUCCCCAAAACCCUAGUUCACAUCAAAAACCACCAAUUGAAGGAUCAAAUCGAGUCCAAAACGAAAAUCGAGCAUAUAUUCGUGAUCCCCAUUGAAAGGAGAUCAUAAGUUUGUCGCCUAACGAGCUAGGUGGAGGCUUGGAAAAGAAGCGGUCAAACGAAUCAAGCACGAGAAGAAAACGUAUUCGGAUGCGAGGUAAGUAGAGCUUACGCCCCUUUACAUUAUUUGCAAAGUUACUUAAUUUCAAGUAAUGAUAUGAAUGCUACUAAGUGGUUGGUAUAUGAUAUUCCGACGCGAUUCAAUGAGAGUUGGAAUGAGGGGAAAAUGGUAAAUUAGUCAUGUAAUGACGAAUAACUAAAAACGGUUUUAAGUAAAACAAGUUCAAAGAAAACCGGGAUAGGUAAAAGGGGUGAAAUGGUAAUUAAAUACCAUCUCAACACGGACAAAUGGUCAAUUAGACUAAAUGGGUCAAAUGGUGUGGAUAACACCAUUUGGCAAUAACAAUUGACAAUCGCUUGUUGAGUUUUGUGAUUUCAGGAAAUAACAUGUGUUGCGUUGCUUUAAUUAGAAAAUUUAAAGCAAGAAGUAUGUAAACGGGUCAAUACUAUGAUCCGAGCCAGGUGAAGAUGGGAUAAGCGGUUUGAAAGAUACGAAAGUUUUCGUGCAAAUAAACGGCAAAAUAGGAAAGCUGGAAUGCAGGGGCCACCGUAACUUACGGUGCCACCGUAAGUUACGGUGGAGCUGAAGGCUUUACGGCAGCCCCCUACUGAUUUACGGUGUAUGCUGAGAGCCCGGAUGAAGAUCAAGCGUCAAGCUCAGUGAGGAACCGAACCAUGUUUAAUAAAGCUUCCGCAACGUUGUUGUGUCGUUAUUCUAAACGGCGAAUUAAAUCACAUUAUGUAUAUCGCUCAAAUUAUAAAAGUUUUUAACAAGCCCGUAUUUUCAUUAUAAUUGUGAUUGUAAUUACAUGAUUAUGUGUUUAAAUUAUACGUAAAAUGUUAAAUAAUAACUAGGAUGU